CGCGCUCGUGGUGGAGGUAGCCGCGCUGCACGAAAACGGCCGGGUCGUCGGGGGCCAGCUCGGCGGCGCGGUUGAAGUCGGCGAGCGCGCC
rnacentral:tRNA from 1 species